rnacentral:rRNA from 1 species
AGGACGAACGCUGGCGGCGUGCUUAACACAUGCAAGUCGAGCGGUAAGGCCCUUUCGGGGGUACACGAGCGGCGAACGGGUGAGUAACACGUGAGUAAUCUGCCCUCCACUUGGGGAUAAGCUUCGGAAACGGGGUCUAAUACCUGAUACGACAACUACCUGCAUGGGUUGGUUGUGGAAAGUUUUUUCGGUGGGGGAUGUGCUCGCGGCCUAUCAGCUU